UUUUAUGAGAGUUUGAUCCUGGCUCAGGACGAACGCUGGCGGCUUGCCUAAUACAUGCACCUCGCACGCUUCUUUUUCCACCGUGGCGUCCUCCACCGGAAAAAGAAGAGUGGCGUACGGUCGCGUAUCCCUUGGGUAC
rnacentral:rRNA from 1 species